rnacentral:rRNA from 1 species
UACAGAGGGUGCAAGCGUUAAUCGGAUUUACUGGGCGUAAAGCGUGUGUAGGUGGCUUCCUAAGUCGGUUGUGAAAUCCCUGGGCUCAACCUGGGAAUUGCAGUCGAUACUGGGAAGCUCGAGUUCGGUAGAGGGUGACGGAAUUCCCGGUGUAGCGGUGAAAUGCGUAGAUAUCGGGAGGAAUACCUAUGGCGAAAGCAGGUAUCUGGGCCAUCACUGACGCUGAGCUGCGAAAGCUAGGGGAGCAAACAGG